rnacentral:rRNA from 1 species
UACGUAGGGACCGAGCGUUGUCCGGAAUCAUUGGGCGUAAAGAGCGUGUAGGCGGCCACUUAAGUCCUGCGUGAAAUCUUGCGGCUCAACCGCAAGCGGUCGUGGGAAACUGGGUGGCUAGAGUGCGGGAGAGGAGAGUGGAAUUCCUGGUGUAGUGGUGAAAUGCGUAGAUAUCGGGAGGAACACCAGUGGCGAAGGCGACUAUCUGGGCUGCAACUGACGCUGAAACGCGAAGGCUAGGGGAGCAAACAGG